CAGGCCCGGCCCCGGGUCGGACUGAGGGCCGGCGCCGACGUGGCCGGGCGGAGCAGCGAGCUGGGGCUCCGGGGCAGGAGUCGCGGGCCACGGAGGGGCACGGUCAAAUUCACAGGGAACCCUUUGGGGAGCCGGGAGUCCGCGAACGAACGACCCUUAGAGAAGAGCGAAUGGAGCCAGGCAGGUUUUUCCCAUGAGGGAUGAGAAGAUUUACGGAUUCGGGAAGUCUCUAGACUUCCUUCGCGGGACCCCUAAGGCCUUACGUGAUGUCAGGGGGCCACAGGGCAAGGCACAUAGAAGUUCCCAGGCUAUGAGACAGAUCAGCACUGGAUCAUUUACCCAGUGAGCGAGGGCAGGGAUGCAACUUGCAUCCUCAUGGAUAUCAGCUCUGUGAAUCAGGAUGUUCUGGAUAGGGUGCAACCACAUCCAAGAAUGAAUGCGAC